rnacentral:rRNA from 1 species
UACAGAGACUGCAAGCGUUAUUCGGAUUCACUGGGCGUAAAGGGUGCGCAGGCGGCCAAGUGUGUUAGGCGUGAAAGCCCGGGGCUUAACCCCGGAAUUGCACCUAAAACUACAUGGCUAGAGCAUUGGAGAGGGUAGCAGAAUUCAUGGUGUAGCAGUGAAAUGCGUAGAUAUCAUGAGGAAUACCAGAGGCGAAGGCGGCUACCUGGACAAUUGCUGACGCUCAGGCAACGAAAGCGUGGGGAGCAAAAGGG